rnacentral:rRNA from 1 species
CGGGAGGCAGCAGUGAGGAAUAUUGGGCAAUGGAGGCAACUCUGACCCAGCCAUGCCGCGUGCAGGAAGACGGCCCUAUGGGUUGUAAACUGCUUUUAUACGGGAAGAAACCCAACUACGUGUAGUUGGCUGACGGUACCGUAAGAAUAAGCACCGA